rnacentral:rRNA from 1 species
GCGGAUGACGGGAGCUUGCUCCCUGAUUCAGCGGCGGACGGGUGAGUAAUGCCUAGGAAUCUGCCUGGUAGUGGGGGACAACGUCUCGAAAGGGACGCUAAUACCGCAUACGUCCUACGGGAGAAAGCAGGGGACCUUCGGGCCUUGCGCUAUCAGAUGAGCCUAGGUCGGAUUAGCUAGUUGGUGAGGUAAUGGCUCACCAAGGCGACGAUCCGUAACUGGUCUGAGAGGAUGAUCAGUCACACUGGAACUGAGACACGGUCCAGACUCCUACGGGAGGCAGCAGUGGGGAAUAUUGGACAAUGGGCGAAAGCCUGAUCCAGCCAUGCCGCGUGUGUGAAGAAGGUCUUCGGAUUGUAAAGCACUUUAAGUUGGGAGGAAGGGCAGUAAAUUAAUACUUUGCUGUUUUGACGUUACCGACAGAAUAAGCACCGGCUAACUCUGUGCCAGCAGCCGCGGUAAUACAGAGGGUGCAAGCGUUAAUCGGAAUUACUGGGCGUAAAGCGCGCGUAGGUGGUUUGUUAAGUUGGAUGUGAAAGCCCCGGGCUCAACCUGGGAACUGCAUUCAAAACUGACAAGCUAGAGUAUGGUAGAGGGUGGUGGAAUUUCCUGUGUAGCGGUGAAAUGCGUAGAUAUAGGAAGGAACACCAGUGGCGAAGGCGACCACCUGGACUGAUACUGACACUGAGGU